GUGCCAGCAGCCGCGGUAACACGUAGGGGGCGAGCGUUGUCCGGAUUUAUUGGGCGUAAAGAGCUCGUAGGCGGCUCAGUUAGUCGGGUGUGAAACCCCCGGGCUCAACCCGGGGACGCCACCCGAUACUGCUGUGGCUAGAGUCCGGUAGGGGAGCGUGGAAUUCCUGGUGUAGCGGUGAAAUGCGCAGAUAUCAGGAGGAACACCAGCGGCGAAGGCGGCGCUCUGGGCCGGAACUGACGCUGAGGAGCGAAAGCGUGGGGAGCGAACAGGAUUAGAUACCCUGGUAGUCC
rnacentral:rRNA from 1 species